AUUGAACGCUGGCGGCAGGCCUAACACAUGCAAGUCGAGCGGAUGAAGGGAGCUUGCUCCUGGAUUCAGCGGCGGACGGGUGAGUAAUGCCUAGGAAUCUGCCUGGUAGUGGGGGAUAACGUCCGGAAACGGGCGCUAAUACCGCAUACGUCCUGAGGGAGAAAGUGGGGGAUCUUCGGACCUCACGCUAUCAGAUGAGCCUAGGUCGGAUUAGCUAGUUGGUGGGGUAAAGGCCUACCAAGGCGACGAUCCGGAACUGGUCUGAGAGGAUGAUCAGUCACACUGGAACUGAGACACGGUCCAGACUCCUACGGGAGGCAGCAGUGGGGAAUAUUGGACAAUGGGCGAAAGCCUUAUCCAGCCAUGCCGCGUGUGUGAAGAAGGUCUUCGGAUUGUAAAGCACUUUAAGUUGGGAGGAAGGGCAGUAAGUUAAUACCUUGCUGUUUUGACGUUACCAACAGAAUAAGCACCGGCUAACUUCGUG
rnacentral:rRNA from 1 species